AGCACUGCCUGACGGGAGGCAGGCAGUGGGAAUAUUGCACAAUGGGCGCAAGCCUGAUGCAGCCAUGCCGCGUGUGUGAAGAAGGCCUUCGGGUUGUAAAGCACUUUCAGUAAGGAGGAAAGGUUAGUAGUUAAUACCUGCUAGCUGUGACGUUACUUACAGAAGAAGCACCGGCUAACUCCGUGCCAGCAGCCGCGGUAAUACGGAGGGUGCGAGCGUUAAUCGGAAUUACUGGGCGUAAAGCGUACGCAGGCGGUUUGUUAAGCGAGAUGCUGAAAGCCCCGGGCUCAACCUGGGAACUGCAUUUCGAACUGGCAAACUAGAGUGUGAUAGAGGGUGGUAGAAUUUCAGGUGUAGCGGUGAAAUGCGUAGAGAUCUGAAGGAAUACCGAUGGCGAAGGCAGCCACCUGGGUCAACACUGACGCUCAUGUACAGAAGCGUGGGAGCAAACGGGAUUAGAUACCCUGGUAG
rnacentral:rRNA from 1 species